AGGAAAGCUAUUGAUUUUUGUGUGUUGACCUUGUAACCAGCUACUUGACUGAAUUUGGUUAUUAAGUCUAGAAGACUUUUGGUGGAGUUCUUGGGGUCUUCUAUAUAGAGUAUCAUGUCAUCUGCAAAUAAUGACAAUUUGACUUCUUCAUUACCUAUCUUUAUUCCUUUUACUUCUUUCUCUUGUCUAAUUGUCGUGGCUAAUAUUUCCAGAACUAUAUUGAACAAGAGUGGUGAAAGUGGACAUCCUUGUCUUGUUUCUGAUUUUAGUGUGAAGGAUUUCAGUUUUUGACCAUUUAAUAUGAUAUUGGCUGUUGGUUUUUCAUAGAUGGCUUCUAUCAGUUUGAGGUAGAGACCAUCUAUUCCAAUUUUUUGUAGCGUUUUUAUCAUAAAUGCAUGUUGGAUUUUGUCAAAUGCUUUUCCUGCGUCUAUGGAGAUAAUCCUAUGGUUUUUGUCCUUGGCUCUAUUGAUAUAGUGUAUUAAAUUGAUUGAUUUUCAUAUAUUGAACCAUCCCUCCAUCCCUGGGAUGAAUCCCACUUGAUCAGGGUGUAUGAUCUUCUUGAUGAUCUUCUGCAUUCUGUUUGCCAUUAUCUUAUUAAGGAUUUUUGCAUCUAUGUUCAUUAGUGAGAUUGGCCUAUAGUUCUCUUUUCCGAUUGGGUCUUUCUCUGCUUUGGGGAUCAAGGUGUUGCUUGCUUCCAGGAAUGAAUUCAGGAGUAUUGCUUCCCUUUCAAUUUCAUUGAAGAGUUUAAACAGUAGUGGCAGUAGUUCCUCUCUAAAUGUCUUACAGAAUUCAGCCGUGAAGCCAUCAGGACCUGGGCUUUUCUUAGUUGAUAAGUUUUUAAUUAUGCUUUCAAUUUUAUUGGUUGAUAUUGGGUUGUUUAGAAUGUUUAGGUCUUCUUUGUCCAACUUUGAUAAGUCAUAUGUAUCUAGGAAUCUGUCCAUUGCUUCUGUGUUUUCCAUCUUAUUGGCGAAUAGGUUCUCAAAGUAAGUAUUGAUGAUCCUCUGGAUUUCUGCUGGGUCUGUUGUAAUUUCACCCUUUUCAUUCCUAAUUGCAUGGAUUUGGGCCUUUUCUUCCCUUUAUCUGAUAAUGUUAGCUAAGGUUUUGUCAAUUUUGUUUAAUCUUUCAAAGAACCAACUCUUGGCUUCAUUAAUUUUUUGUAUCAUUCUCUUAGUCUCCAUUGAAUUGAUUUCUCCUCUGAUCUUUAUAAUUUCCUCUCUUGUAUGAGCUUUGGGGUUGUCCUGUUCUUCUUUUUCUAGAAGCUUGAGCUUCAACAUCUGUCCCGGCCCGCGGGUAAGUCAACGGAGACCCUAGAGGGGGAGCGAGGAUGAGAGGGGACAGGGGACACGAGAGAUGGAGACAAGACAGGUUUCUGAUCAAGUCUCGUUUAUUGCGGAAGCUGCUACAACAUAUAUACCGUAGGGCGAGAGGGGAGGAGCAAGAGGAGUGUACUGGGGCUACUUCCUUGUUGCCGGGUAGAUCUGCAACAAGCCCGGGCAUGUCUGUAGAAGGCACUCAAGAGUUCCAGAGGGGGGGGGCAGGGCCCCCUACAGGUCCUCCCUUUUAAAAUUAUUUUUUAGAAAAGCGUCCAGGAGAGUCGGAAGCCU
ensembl:lncRNA